UACGUAGGGAGCAAGCGUUGUCCGGAAUCAUUGGGCGUAAAGCGCGCGUAGGUGGCCACAUAAAUCCGUUGUGAAAGUCAAAGGCUCAACCUUUGAAAGCCGAUGGAUACUGUGUGGCUAGAGUACGGAAGAGGCGAGUGGAAUUCCUGGUGUAGCGGUGGAAUGCGCAGAUAUCAGGAGGAACACCAAUAGCGAAGGCAGCUCGCUGGGACGUUACUGACACUGAGGCGCGAAAGCGUGGGGAGCGAACAGG
rnacentral:rRNA from 1 species